AGGACAAACGCUGGCGGCGUGCCUAAGACAUGCAAGUCGGACGGGGGGCUUCGGCCUCGAGUGGCGGACGGGUGAGGAGCGCGUGGAGAACCUGCCCUAGGAUGGGGGAUAACAGCCAGAAAUGGCUGCUAAUACCGCAUACGAUUGCUCUCUGGUAAGGGGAGUAAGGAAAGCCGCAAGGCGUCCUUGGAGGGGUCCGCGUCGGAUUAGCUAGUUGGUGGGGUAACGGCCUACCAAGGCGACGAUCCGUAGCUGGUCUGAGAGGACGGCCAGCCACACUGGGACUGAGACACGGCCCAGACUCCUACGGGAGGCAGCAGUUAGGGAAUUUUGACAAUGGGCGCAAGCCUGAUCGAGUGACGCCGCGUGUGGGAUGACGCCUUUCGGGGUGUAAACCACUUUUCUUGGGGACGAGAACGGACGGUACCCGAGGAAUAAGCCUCGGCUAACUACGUGCCAGCAGCCGC
rnacentral:rRNA from 1 species